ACAGGGAUUGCCCUAGUAACGGCGAGUGAAGCGGCAACAGCUCAAAUUUGAAAUCUGGCGUCUUUGGCGUCCGAGUUGUAAUUUGCAGAGGGCGCUUUGGCAUUGGCAGCGGUCCAAGUUCCUUGGAACAGGACGUCACAGAGGGUGAGAAUCCCGUACGUGGUCGCUAGCCUUUACCGUGUAAAGCCCCUUCGACGAGUCGAGUUGUUUGGGAAUGCAGCUCUAAAUGGGAGGUAAAUUUCUUCUAAAGCUAAAUACUGGCCAGAGACCGAUAGCGCACAAGUAGAGUGAUCGAAAGAUGAAAAGCACUUUGGAAAGAGAGUUAAAAAGCACGUGAAAUUGUUGAAAGGGAAGCGCUUGCAGCCAGACUUGCCUGUAGUUGCUCAUCCGGGUUUCUACCCGGUGCACUCUUCUAUAGGCAGGCCAGCAUCAGUUUGGGCGGUUGGAUAAAGGUCUCUGUCAUGUACCUCCUUUCGGGGAGAACUUAUAGGGGAGACGACAUGCAACCAGCCUGGACUGAGGUCCGCGCAUCUGCUAGGAUGCUGGCGUAAUGGCUGUAAGCGGCCCGUCUUGAAACACGGACCAAGGAGUCUAACAUCUAUGCGAGUGUUUGGGUGUCAAGCCCGAGCGCGUAAUGAAAGUGAACGGAGGUGGGAACCUUUCGGGGUGCACCAUCGACCGAUCCUGAUGUCUUCGGAUGGAUUUGAGUAAGAGCAUAGCUGUUGGGACCCGAAAGAUGGUGAACUAUGCUUGAAUAGGGUGAAGCCAGAGGAAACUCUGGUGGAGGCUCGCAGCGGUUCUGACGUGCAAAUCGAUCGUCAAAUUUGGGCAUAGGGGCGAAAGACUAAUCGAACUAUCUAGUAGCUGGUUCCUGCCGAAGUUUCCCUCAGGAUAGCAGUAACGUUUUCAGUUUUAUGAGGUAAAGCGAAUGAUUAGAGGCCUGGGGGUUGAAACAACCUU
rnacentral:rRNA from 2 species